rnacentral:rRNA from 1 species
GACGAACGCUGGCGGCGUGCUUAACACAUGCAAGUCGAACGGAGAGACAUGGAAGCUUGCUUCUAUGAAUCUUAGUGGCGAACGGGUGAGUAACGCGUAAUCAACCUGCCCUUUAGAGGGGGAUAACAACGGGAAACCGUUGCUAAUACCGGAUAACAACACUAGACGCAUGUCUAGAGUUUGAAAGAUGGUUCUGCUAUCACUCUUGGAUGGACCUGCGGUGCAUUAGCUAGUUGGUAAGGUAACGGCUUACCAAGGCAAUGAUGCAUAGCCGAGUUGAGAGACUGAUCGGCCACAUUGGGACUGAGACACGGCCCAA